ensembl:snoRNA
UGGACCAGUGAUGAAAAUGUGUUUUGAAACAAUGGUUAUAAUUAUUACAAUUCUGUACCACUGACAUU